rnacentral:rRNA from 1 species
AACGAACGCUGGCGGCAUGCCUAACACAUGCAAGUCGAACGAGACCUUCGGGUCUAGUGGCGCACGGGUGCGUAACGCGUGGGAACCUGCCCUUAGGUUCGGAAUAACUCCCCGAAAGGGGUGCUAAUACCGGAUAAUUUCUUCGGACCAAAGAUUUAUCGCCUUUGGAUGGGCCCGCGUUGGAUUAGCUAGUUGGUAGGGUAAAAGCCUACCAAGGCGACGAUCCAUAGCUGGUCUGAGAGGAUGAUCAGCCACACUGGGACUGAGACACGGCCCAGACUCCUACGGGAGGCAGCAGUGGGGAAUAUUGGACAAUGGGCGAAAGGCUGAUCCAGCAAGGCCGCGUGAGUGAUGAAGGCCUUAGGGUUGUAAAGCUCUUUUACCCGGGAUGAUAAUGACAGUACCGGGAGAAUAAGCUCCGGCUAACUCCGUG